CAGCCCGCCCUCUGGUGGCGAAGACGAUCCAGAGGUGGACACUGAUCGUGAAGACUUCGAGACGCUGGCAUCACUGCAGAGCAGCAUAACCAUGGCCAGGGCACUUUUUCACAAGCGGUGCAAAAAAUUCAAGGAUGCUGUAGAGUCUUUUGAGCAACAUCCAGCAGAUCAACUGCGCGAAGUCGGUGAUACCUCUCAACAUGAUGCACACACACAGACGGUAUCAUCACCACCUGCGACAGCUGAAGAUGGGCUCGAACACUUUGGCCUCUUUGUCGCCCAGAGACUGCGCAUGGUGGAUGCAACAGUGCAAGCGCGUCUCAUGUCAUCCAUUUUAAAUCUAGUUGUUCCAGUGCCAUGUGGCCUUUCAGAAUGAUUUUGAAGCAAAGCUCCAAAUGUUGCUUUUCCAAAUGCUCCUAAACAAAGUGUGCAUGGACGGAGUGUUUGUCACAUGUAGCGUUCCUGUAAUUAAAAAAAAAUCUGGCACAUUUCACCCAUAAUGGGAAUAGAUUUCAUAUGAAGCUCUGGGAGGGGUAAAAUAUGUCAUAUUUCUUGCUUUGAGCCAAGAAUAAUUAGCUGGAGCGAUGCAAAUUUAGUAGUUGCAUGCAUAUCGAGUCACUGUCGGAUAUGUUGAAUACAGUGGUGUGUAUCGCUCAUGGUCUGACACAAUGCCAUGACUCGUAUUAUAGCAGACUGCAAGGAAGUGUGCGCUACAGUGCGAUAGUGUGCACAUAAUAAGUGGCAGUUGCUAAUGUGGCCAUGUUUGACUGCAGCUUGUGGAGUCGUGAUUAUGCAUUAGAAUGUUUAUGAUUUUAUAAAAAAUUAAUAGCCAGGACUGCAACCACAGUUGUCAUUGUCGCAAUAACAUGCUUGUAUAGCGUCAUUUUCUGAAAUGGUUUAAUGCACUGUGGCUCGGUUUUAGAAUAUCUGACAGCCACGCAGAAUAUCUGGGUUAAAUUCCAACUCAAGUUGUGAUUUUCAUUAUUUGCUCAUCAGAAUUUUUCACGCAUGCACUGACAAAAGUGCCGAACCUCACAAUGGAUCUCUUGCGAUGCAGACUCAUUAAUGAUAUUACAAGAAGAUAAAUUUCAA